AAUAUUUUUUUUUAAGGAAUACUUGGGGUGUGAUCUACAAUCGAUACCGAAGCCAAAAAUAUAGUUUUUAGAAUUUUUGUCUGUUUUUCUGUUUGUCUGUAUGUAUGUCCGGGAUAAACUCAAAAAGUACUGCAUGGAUUUACUUCAAAUUUGGCACGAUUAUUAUUAAGUCGGGUCAACAUAUAGGCUACAUAUUAUCACGCUAUCACCUACGGGGAACGAGCAGUGAACC
rnacentral:misc_RNA from 1 species